GACGUAGGGCGCGAGCGUUGUCCGGAUUUAUUGGGCGUAAAGAGCUCGUAGGCGGCUUGUCGCGUCGAAUGUGAAAACUCGGGGCUCAACUCCGAGCUUGCAUUCGAUACGGGCAGGCUAGAGUUCGGUAGGGGAGGACUGGAAUUCCUGGUGUAGCGGUGAAAUGCGCAGAUAUCAGGAGGAACACCGGUGGCGAAGGCAGAUCUCUGGGCCGUAACUGACGCUGAGGAGCGAAAGCAUGGGGAGCGAACAGG
rnacentral:rRNA from 1 species